GAUGAAGAACGUAGCGAAAUGCGAUACUUGGUGUGAAUUGCAGAAUCCCGUGAACCAUCGAGUCUUUGAACGCAAGUUGCGCCCGAAGCCAUUAGGCCGAGGGCACGCCUGCCUGGGCGUCACACGUCGUUGCCCCCCCAUCUACUCCUUCGGGAUUGCGGGGGGCGGAUGAUGGCCUCCCGUGCGCCUCGUCGCGCGGUUGGCCUAAAUGCCAAGUCCUCGGCGACGCACGCCACGACAAUCGGUGGUUGCGAAACCUCGGUUGCCCGUCGUGUGCGGUCGUCGCGCAUCGAGGGCUCGAAAAAAUUGCCGGGCUUCGGCUCGACUUUCAACGCGACCCCAGGUCAGGCGGGGUUACCCGCUGAAUUUAAGCAUAUCAAUAAGCGGAGAA
rnacentral:misc_RNA from 1 species